GUACUGGUUUCGACAGGGAUCUUGAAGCUUGAGGAGCCAUUGGGAGAGACCACCUUACGGUGUAAACUUAAAUAUAAACGCAGAUAAUAAAUUAGCGUACGCUGCAGCCUAAUUGCAGCAGCUGUCUUUGGAUCACCUGUAGUCUAGAGAUACAGCUUCAAUGAUGCAGGACACUCGUCUGCUUAAGCUUUGCGGCAGAUGAAGUAUUGAUGAAGCUACUAAAGCAGCCAUCCCGUCUGUCGGAGUGCUGUGGAGGGAAUGUCAAUAGGCAGACUGUAAUGGGAGAGCCUUAAGUGAACGGGUUUUUGGACGCGGGUUCGAUUCCCGCCUGGUCCAU
rnacentral:tmRNA from 1 species